CAUGAGGGGCUCCACUCCGUGGCGCUGCAGGUGUUUGUGUGCAGCUGGACACGUCCUCUUCAAGACCCAGUUCAACAUGGCCGCAUCAAACAGGACUCCUUCCUACGGAGAGAGACACAAAGUUGGCGGGACUACGAAGAUGGAACGAUAGCAGCUGGGAAACGGGAACCAAUAAUAGUAGAAAUGUUUCCUACCCAUGUCCAUCCUUUGAAAGGAACAUUUCAUGAAAAGGGAACUGUCGAUCCAGGUCUCUCUCGAUCACGUCCACCCAGCUCUGCAGAGCAGGCUGCACGUCCAAAGACUGACGCAGUGACAAAAGACAAAGAGUUCUGGGCUUUGCUUCAUCUUGUCAGUAGCUCCACACAUCAGAGGCCAGCACUUGGCCCGCAGAGAGGCCGG